CACGAGCUUCGGCUGCAGGGUCAACGUCGGGCAUCUGCUACAGGGAGCCUCUAGUCCUGAGCCACGACUGUGUGUGGACAUCGAGCGCUGCGUAAUGACAGGUGACGCUCGUCGAGAAGGGAAGUCCUCACAGCGUGGCCCUCAUAGAGUCCGGCAAGUUGUUGCCUGGAACGAAGACUGUCAUAGCUAAUCCGGAAACGAAAGGUCAAUGUGGAGACUCCCAUCUAGGAGAG